GCCAAGUGGUAGGCCUCUCUGCUGGGCUACGGUCACAGGUUCGAUCCCAGCGAAAAGCGGUAGGUUCGAUCCCAGCCCAAGUGGUAGGCUCUCUGCCGGGCUACGGUCACAGGUUCGAUCCCAUUGGUUCGAUCUCAGGCCAAGUGGUAAGCUCUCUGCCAGGAUACGGUCACAGGUUCGAUCCCAGCAAAAUGUGGUAGGUUCAAUCCCAGCGCAAGUGGUAGGUUCGAUCCCUGCCGAAGUGGUAGACUCUCUGUCAGGCUAGUCACAGGUUUGAUCCCAGCACAAGUGGUAGUUUUGAUUCCUGCCAAAGUGGUAGGCUCUCUGCUGGGCUACGGUCACAGGUUUGAUCCCAGCGCAAGUGGUAGGUUCGAUCCUUGCCCAAAUGGUAGGUUUGUUCGAUCCCAGCGCAAGUGGUAGGUUCGAUCCCAGCCCAAGUGGCUGGUUUUCUGCCGGGCUACGGUCACAGGUUCGAUCCCAGCCAAAGUGGUAGGCUCUCUUUUGGGCUAUGGUCACAGGUGCGAUGGUAGGUUCGAUCCCUGCCCUGGAGCGGUAGGCUCUCGGCCGGGCUACGGUCACAGGUUUGAUCCCAGCGUAAGUGGUAGAUUCGAUCCCUGCCCAAGCGGUAGGUUCUCUGCCGGGCUAUGGCCACAGGUUCCAUACCAGCACAAGUGGUAGAUUCGAUCCCUGCCGAAGCGGUAGGUUCUCUGCUGGGCUACGGUCACAGGUUCCAUCCCAGCACAAAUGGUAGAUUUGAUCCCAGCCAAAGCGGUAGGUUCUCUGCCUGGCUACGGUCACAUAUUUGAUCCCAGCACAUGGUAGGUUCUCUGCAUGGCUACACAGGACAAGGCAGUCUGAAAGACAGCUUAAUCCCCCGACACUGUUAUCCUUUAAAUAGUUUAGUGGCGGGGGAUUAAAAAUGUUGCUGAAAUCAAACAAACUUACAUAUAUUUAAGAAACCUAUGCAUAUAUAUUCAUAAACAACAAUACAUGUAGUUACCUUUUUUGGUUUGAAAAUUACAGUCUAGUAGCCUAAAGUCAGUGUAAUGUAGGAGACCUGUCAAUUUUUCUGUCCAGAACGUAUAUACCUAGUAGACCCAGGUUUUUCUUACUUAUUGCUAGAUAUACCUAUAAAAAUUAUUCAUUCAAACAUACCAAAAAUUUAAAGAUAAACAUGAAUGUACUUAAUUAAUUUCUGAAACUUAGUCCUAAUGCUCUAGCAGUUCAAAAAUAGUAGAAUGGAUUAACGAAGGGUGACUCACAGUCAGAAAUUAUCUAUUAAACAAUGCAUGUGGGGGCAUACAUCCAAUUAAUAGAUAAUAACAAAGGAAAAGGCAUCGAAUCAACCAAACAAAAAACCCAAAAAAUUUAAAUAAUACUGGAAAUUCAAAAAUUUAAUGAUAGAAACAAAUGUUCUUAUUAAUUUCUGAGUCUUGCCUAUAAAAAUUAAUUCAAACAUACCAAAAAUUUAAAGAUAAACAUGAAUGUACUUAAUUAAUUCUGAAACUUAGUCCUAAUGCUCUAGCAGUUCAAAAAUAAUAGAAUGGAUUAAUGAAGGGUGACUCACAGUCAGAAAUUAUCUAUUAAACAAUGCAUGUGGGGGCAUACAUCCAAUUAAUAGAUAAUAACAAAGGAAAAGGCAUCGAAUCAACCAAACAAAAAACCCAAAAAAUUUAAAUAAUACUGGAAAUUCAAAAAUUUAAUGAUAGAAACAAAUGUUCUUAUUAAUUUCUGAGUCUUGCCUAUAAAAAUUAAUUCAAACAUACCAAAAAUUUAAAGAUAAACAUGAAUGUACUUAAUUUCUGAAACUUAGUCCUAAUGCUCUAGCAGUUCAAAAAUAAUAGAAUGGAUUAAUGAAGGGUGACUCACAGUCAGAAAUUAUCUAUUAAACAAUGCAUGUGGGGGCAUACAUCCAAUUAAUAGAUAAUAACAAAGGAAAAGGCAUCGAAUCAACCCAACAAAAAACCCAAAAAAUUUAAAAUAAUACUGGAAAUUCAAAAAUUUAAUGAUAGAAACAAAUGUACUUACUAAUUUCUGAGUCUUGCCUAUAAAAAUUAUUAAUUCAAACAUACCAAAAAUUUAAAGAUAAACAUGAAUGUACUUAAUUAAUUUCUGAAACUUAGUCCUAAUGCUCUAGCAGUUCAAAAAUAAAAAAUGGAUUAAUGAAGGGUGACUCACAGUCAGAAAUUAUCUAUUAAACAAUGCAUGUGGGGGCAUACAUCCAAUUAAUAGAUAAUAACAAAGGAAAAGGCAUCGAAUCAACCCAACAAAAACCCAAAAAAUUUAAAUACUGGAAAUUCAAAAAUUUAAUGAUAGAAACAAAUGUUCUUAUUAAUUUCUGAGUCUUGCCUAUAAAAAUUAAUUCAAACAUACCAAAAAUUUAAAGAUAAACAUGAAUGUACUUAAUUAAUUUCUGAAACUUAGUCCUAAUGCUCUAGCAGUUCAAAAAUAAUAGAAUGGAUUAAUGAAGGGUGACUCACAGUCAGAAAUUAUCUAUUAAACAAUGCAUGUGGGGGCAUACAUCCAAUUAAUAGAUAAUAACAAAGGAAAAGGCAUCGAAUCAACCCAACAAAAACCCAAAAAAUUUAAAUACUGGAAAUUCAAAAAUUUAAUGAUAGAAACAAAUGUUCUUAUUAAUUUCUGAGUCUUGCCUAUAAAAAUUAAUUCAAACAUACCAAAAAUUUAAAGAUAAACAUGAAUGUACUUAAUUUCUGAAACUUAGUCCUAAUGCUCUAGCAGUUCAAAAAUAAUAGAAUGGAUUAAUGAAGGGUGACUCACAGUCAGAAAUUAUCUAUUAAACAAUGCAUGUGGGGGCAUACAUCCAAUUAAUAGAUAAUAACAAAGGAAAAGGCAUCGAAUCAACCCAACAAAAAACCCAAAAAAUUUAAAUAAUACUGGAAAUUCAAAAAUUUAAUGAUAGAAACAAAUGUACUUACUAAUUUCUGAGUCUUGCCUAUAAAAAUUAUUAAUUCAAACAUACCAAAAAUUUAAAGAUAAACAUGAAUGUACUUAAUUAAUUUCUGAAACUUAGUCCUAAUGCUCUAGCAGUUCAAAAAUAAAAAAUGGAUUAAUGAAGGGUGACUCACAGUCAGAAAUUAUCUAUUAAACAAUGCAUGUGGGGGCAUACAUCCAAUUAAUAGAUAAUAACAAAGGAAAAGGCAUCGAAUCAACCCAACAAAAAACCAAAAAAUUUAAAUAAUACUGGAAAUUCAAAAAUUUAAUGAUAGAAACAAACGUACUUAUUAAUUUCUGAGUCUUGCCUAUAAAAAUUAAUUCAAACAUACCAAAAAUUUAAAGAUAAACAUGAGUGUACUUGAUCAAUUUCUGAAACUUAGUCCUAAUGCUCUAGCAGUUCAAAAAUAAUAGAAUGGAUUAAUGAAGGGUGACUCACAGUCAGAAAUUAUCUAUUAAACAAUGCAUGUGGGGGCAUACAUCCAAUUAAUAGAUAAUAACAAAGGAAAAGGCAUCGAAUCAACCCAACAAAAACC
rnacentral:lncRNA from 1 species